rnacentral:rRNA from 1 species
AUUGAACGCUGGCGGCAUGCCUAACACAUGCAAGUCGAACGAGUGGCGGACGGGUGAGUAAUGUCUGGGAAACUGCCCGAUGGAGGGGGAUAACUACUGGAAACGGUAGCUAAUACCGCAUACCAUCGGAUGUGCCCAGAUGGGAAUAGCUAGUAGGUGGGGUAACGGCUCACCUAGGCGACGAUCCCUAGCUGGUCUGAGAGGAUGUCCGCCCACACGGGAACGGAGACACGGUCCGGACUCUUACGGGAGGCAGCAGUGGGGAAUAUUGCACAAUGGGCGAAGGCCUGAUGCAGCCAUGCCGCGUGUAUGAGGAAGGCCUUCGGGUUGUAAAGUACUUUCAGCGGGGAGGCGUUACUCGCAUAGAAAGCACCGGCUAACUCCGUGCCAGCAGCCGCGGUAAUUC